UUAAAUAAGAUAAGAAUAGCACGUAGUUACUGAUCUAUGAUUUCCGUUUAAUUUUUCUUGGAUUAAUCUUGUUGUUUGUACAUGGCAAUAACUUCAACUUUAAUAUUUAAUUUAUUAGUACUACUAUUAUCUUUAAUUUGGGUGCCAAUAUAAAUCAUCGCGUACGGUAAUGGAUGUGAAAGGGUGGACUCAUCAUUCCAUAACAGCUCACUUUACUCGCAAACAAGAACAUCGAUGAUGAGAAGCAUCUCGGCAACUCACACCAAUAGUUUAAUAUAUUGUUUUGGGUUGAAUUUGGAUGACGGGAGAUUCUUUAUUAAAGUGAUGAUAUCGAUUAUUAUAAUAGUAAAAUUAAAAUUAAUGGUAUAAUAUAUAUUUGAAGGUAAAUGUAAAUGAGAUAAAUUAUAAUAAAAAAAUAAUUAUCGAAAAUAUUAGAUUAAAAAUGAAAUAUAAUAAAAUUAUAAAUUAUACAAUAUUUAUAAAAAUAAUAA
rnacentral:lncRNA from 1 species